CCCACCUUACUUGAACAUGACCUGUUCUAUAGGCUCGUACCGCAGCAUCCUUUACCAAUAAGGAGGGCCGUUCUGAU
rnacentral:snoRNA from 1 species